CCGAAUAGGGGAGCCGGAGGGAAACCGAGUCUUAACCGGGCGUUAAGUUGCAGGGUAUAGACCCGAAACCCGGUGAUCUAGCCAUGGGCAGGUUGAAGGUUGGGUAACACUAACUGGAGGACCGAACCGACUAAUGUUGAAAAAUUAGCGGAUGACCUGUGGCUGGGGGUGAAAGGCCAAUCAAACCGGGAGAUAGCUGGUUCUCCCCGAAAGCUAUUUAGGUAGCGCCUCGUGAAUUCAUCUCCGGGGGUAGAGCACUGUUUCGGCUAGGGGGCCAUCCCGGCUUACCAACCCGAUGCAAACUGCGAAUACCGGAGAAUGUUAUCACGGGAGACACACGGCGGGUGCUAACGUCCGUCGUGAAGAGGGAAACAACCCAGACCGCCAGCUAAGGUCCCAAAGUCAUGGUUAAGUGGGAAACGAUGUGGGAAGGCCCAGACAGCCAGGAUGUUGGCUUAGAAGCAGCCAUCAUUUAAAGAAAGCGUAAUAGCUCACUGGUCGAGUCGGCCUGCGCGGAAGAUGUAACGGGGCUAAACCAUGCACCGAAGCUGCGGCAGCGACGCUGAUGCGUUGUUGGGUAGGGGAGCGUUCUGUAAGCCUGCGAAGGUGUGUCGUGAGGCAUGCUGGAGGUAUCAGAAGUGCGAAUGCUGACAUAAGUAACGAUAAAGCGGGUGAAAAGCCCGCUCGCCGGAAGACCAAGGGUUCCUGUCCAACGUUAAUCGGGGCAGGGUGAGUCGACCCCUAAGGCGAGGCCGAAAGGCGUAGUCGAUGGGAAACGGGUUAAUAUUCCCGUACUUGGUGUUACUGCGAAGGGGGGACGGAGAAGGCUAUGUUGGCCGGGCGACGGUUGUCCCGGUUUAAGCGUGUAGGUGUGUGUUCCAGGUAAAUCCGGUUCACUUUAACACUGAGGCGUGAUGACGAGGCACUACGGUGCUGAAGCAACAAAUGCCCUGCUUCCAGGAAAAGCCUCUAAGCAUCAGGUAACAUCAAAUCGUACCCCAAACCGACACAGGUGGUCAGGUAGAGAAUACCAAGGCGCUUGAGAGAACUCGGGUGAAGGAACUAGGCAAAAUGGUGCCGUAACUUCGGGAGAAGGCACGCUGACACGUAGGUGAAGUGAUUUACUCAUGGAGCUGAAGUCAGUCGAAGAUACCAGCUGGCUGCAACUGUUUAUUAAAAACACAGCACUGUGCAAACACGAAAGUGGACGUAUACGGUGUGACGCCUGCCCGGUGCCGGAAGGUUAAUUGAUGGGGUCAGCGCAAGCGAAGCUCCUGAUCGAAGCCCCGGUAAACGGCGGCCGUAACUAUAACGGUCCUAAGGUAGCGAAAUUCCUUGUCGGGUAAGUUCCGACCUGCACGAAUGGCGUAAUGAUGGCCAGGCUGUCUCCACCCGAGACUCAGUGAAAUUGAACUCGCUGUGAAGAUGCAGUGUACCCGCGGCAAGACGGAAAGACCCCGUGAACCUUUACUAUAGCUUGACACUGAACAUUGAGCCUUGAUGUGUAGGAUAGGUGGGAGGCUUUGAAGUGUGGACGCCAGUCUGCAUGGAGCCGGCCUUGAAAUACCACCCUUUAAUGUUUGAUGUUCUAACGUGGACCCGUGAUCCGGGUUGCGGACAGUGUCUGGUGGGUAGUUUGACUGGGGCGGUCUCCUCCUAAAGAGUAACGGAGGAGCACGAAGGUUGGCUAAUCCUGGUCGGACAUCAGGAGGUUAGUGCAAUGGCAUAAGCCAGCUUGACUGCGAGCGUGACGGCGCGAGCAGGUGCGAAAGCAGGUCAUAGUGAUCCGGUGGUUCUGAAUGGAAGGGCCAUCGCUCAACGGAUAAAAGGUACUCCGGGGAUAACAGGCUGAUACCGCCCAAGAGUUCAUAUCGACGGCGGUGUUUGGCACCUCGAUGUCGGCUCAUCACAUCCUGGGGCUGAAGUAGGUCCCAAGGGUAUGGCUGUUCGCCAUUUAAAGUGGUACGCGAGCUGGGUUUAGAACGUCGUGAGACAGUUCGGUCCCUAUCUGCCGUGGGCGCUGGAGAACUGAGGGGGGCUGCUCCUAGUACGAGAGGACCGGAGUGGACGCAUCACUGGUGUUCGGGUUGUCAUGCCAAUGGCACUGCCCGGUAGCUAAAUGCGGAAGAGAUAAGUGCUGAAAGCAUCUAAGCACGAAACUUGCCCCGAGAUGAGUUCUCCCUGAGACUUAGAGUCUCCUGAAGGAACGUUGAAGACGACGACGUUGAUAGGCCGGGUGUGUAAGCGCAGCGAUGCGUUGAGCUAACCGGUACUAAUGAACCGUGAGGCUUAACCUUACAACGCCGAA
rnacentral:rRNA from 1 species